rnacentral:rRNA from 1 species
AACGAACGCUGGCGGCGUGCUUAACACAUGCAAGUCGAACGAGAAAGUCCCUUCGGGGGCGAGUAAAGUGGCGCACGGGUCAGUAACACGUGGAUAAUCUACCUUCCGGUGAGGAACAACUUGUCGAAAGACGGGCUAAUACCUCGUAAGACCACAGGGUCCUCGGACCCCGGGGUCAAAGGUGGCCUCUACUCGUAAGCUAUCGCCGGUUGAUGAGUCCGCGCACCAUUAGCUAGUUGGCAGGGUAAUGGCCUACCAAGGCUUAGAUGGUUAGCUGGUCUAAGAGGACGACCAGCGACACUGGAACUGAAACACGGUCCAGACUCCUACGGGAGGCAG